ensembl:lncRNA
AUGAUGUAAUGGACAUUUUCUGAUAAAAUCAUUUCCAUUAUGGUCGUAUUUCCUUUGGACACACCCUUUGAUGACAAACUCCGUCUUUUGUGAUUGUGACAUAGACAGUAUUAAAUUAGCUUUCAACGUGGGCACAAUGCUGUGCAUUCUUGAUCGGAGGUGGGCGUGGCUUCCCGGCGCAGUCUCAGUUACCUGCAGAGCUCAACGCGGAAGACAACAAGAAGCUCCGGGUUUCUAACUGACGUCGAACAAGCAGAGGCAAGUUACUCGGGAUUCUAUUGGGACACCUGACGUGUUUUUGUCAUUAGGCUCUACCCCAAAACCAUGUGGCCAAACCAAGGUCCUCCCCAUUCAGUGCCUCCACCAAACCCAGCCUUUGCCCCUGGCUACAACCCUGCAUAUCCUCCUGUGCCUCAGGCAGGAGUCUUUCCUCCACAACCAGUAUACCCAGCUGGUCAGUACCAGGCUGGUCAGUACCCAGCUGGUCAGUAUCCAGCUGGUCAGUAUCCAGCUGGUGGGAAUGUCGCCAUGGGACCACAUGGAGCUCCAGGAAUGAUGCCAUAUGGAGCUCCUGGAGCUCACCCGUAUCCCAUGGCUCCAGGUGGAGUUCCAGGGGUCCCACAUGCUGGUGUUUAUCCAGGUCACUACCCACACUCUCCAAAAGGGGGUCACCACAAAGGGGGGCACCACAAAGGGCAUCAUCAUGGAGGAGCCAUGCCAAUGGGUGGAGUAGUAGCGGGUGGGGUUGCAGGAAUGGGAAUUGGGGUGGUUGGACAUAAAGCCAAUAAGAAGAUGAAGAAAAAGAUGAAGAAGGCUCAUAAACAAAAGCAUGGACACAAACAUGGCAAGUCCUCCAGCAGCAGCAGCAGCAGCAGCAGUAGCAGUGACUAAGCCCGAAGGCCUUCAACUCCACACCCAGCAUCUAAGAAAAGUCUUUCAGAAGUGCAAAUGAUCUAUAACCAAUACACGUAAAAGAGAUAUGUUUUUAGAAUACAAAACAAGUGUUUUAAAGUACUUAAGUAACAAAGCAAAAAAGGCAAGGUCACACCGCUUUUGUGGAUAUCUUAUGAAGUUGAUUAAAUAUAUGUGAUUGUUUUUUGGUCAGUUAGUUUGUGUAAGAAAAAGGCGUGUCUAAAAAAUAUGGAAUAAAGUGCAAGGAUAUUUGUAAGAUGAUAUAUGGAAAAAUGUGUUAAAAUUGCAAUGUGUUAAAGAAUGUGCCCACUUUAAUGUGUCUUUAUUUUCUAUUUCACUUGCAUUAACUUUUGCUUUUGUUUUCCUGUUGCCUCGGAUCUGACCACAAAACUGGUAGUUUAUUGUAGAAAAACCAUAUAAAAUAUAGAAUUUAAUUAAAAGCAAAAAUACUGUCAUUGAAUGUGUAGAAAGGUGGAAGAAAAUCUAAUUUGUGCAUUUAAGUCUGUACUUGUGUUUUAAAAAUUACCUUUGAAAACAUUUGUGGUCAGGAUUACAGAAGGGUGCAUCAAAAUGCACAAGAUCCUUUCUUGUAACUUAAGCUGCAUAAUCAUGUUGAUCUAGUUAUAUAUUUUUAAAGAAUAUAUUUUUUGUUAAUACAUUAGAAGUCUGAUGCACACCAAAAUAAAGCGAUGCAGCGCAUUUUGUUUUAUUUUGAAAAUAGACUAAGUUACCUUUUGUCAGAAAAGUCUAGUGUUACAUUCACUACUCACUAUUCACUACAUUCACUACCACUGCAGCAGAAAAAAUAUUUCAUACCACUUUGAAAGUCGGUUUAAUGUCAAAAUGAUUGUGACUGCAUCUGUUCACUUAACACUAUUUCAUCAAUAAAUAUGUUUAUAUCCACGGUGCCUUCAUGUUUUGAGUAUGACUAUCGGUUUCCUUUAAUUUAUUUUUAAAAAAUAAUUUAUUGCACGGUUUUUGUUUAAAAUUAUGUUUUUCUUGUUAAAAUAAUUAUAUUUUAAAUAACUGCAAGGAAAAGUCUUAGGUUGUUUAAAAUUCGAAGGAAUAAAUGUUGCUUUACUGACCGUCGGAAAACGAACAAUUUUGAUGGGACGUUUGUGAUCUACUGUGUUUUUUCUGAAACCAUCGAAACCUUUUUUUUCUUCUAAUGAUGUGCUUUCUUGUGACCUGCCACGUAAAACAUCAAAUGGUGGAAGAACUGCAGCGAUCCUUUUAGCGAAACAUCCGAUCGGGGUGGGGGUUUGUGAUGGGUGUGAGAGGAAAGUUCAGAGGUUGUAGUUUUGUUGUCUUUGUGUAAAGGAGUGGAGCUCGAUCUCACAUCACUCUUCCCUCUUCCCCGAGUCCUUUCUAAACUCUCCCCCUGGGUUUCUACCCUCCCGAACCUCUCCCCUUCUACCCUCACAACCCCAACCCUCCCCCCGAUCACAUAUUAGGGUUCGAAUCAGGUGAGUUCGGCUUUGAUGUUCUGUACUUUUCGGCAUUUGUGUUAGUCAGAAGUAACGAAAAGAAAACGCGCCUAGGAGCUAGCUGUGGCUACAUGCUAGCAGGCCGCACAAUGAUGAGCACGCAGUCUGUUCACUGUGAUGUAGCUAAUUUAUUAUUCGCAGCUUUGGUCUGUAGUCUUUAUCGGCUUUUUUUUGUUAAAGUUCUUUCCGUAGUUCGUGGAAUUUGUUAAAGAUCGUUCAUAAACGUGGUUUCACGAAAACUAAAUUCGUCCCAUUAAGCGUUAUAGUAUUAGCAAAUAAAGCUAACUAGCUUUGCUAACAAUCGCACACAUGCUCCAUUCAUUUUCAGGGCAACCUCUAUGCUAAAAAAGGCUAACAGACCGCCAGAAAGAUCGAACUAUUUAAGUGACACAAGAGCACAAACUUUGCAAAGAGGGAAGAGCUGAUUAUUGUUUUAUUUAAACCAUCUAAUCGUGUUGCUGACUUAAAAGAAACUUGCUUCAAAGAUAAUGAGAGCGUCAUAUAAUAAUAGACACGACCAUAUGUUCUUAUGCCAUAGUAGUUCAACGCUGAAUCACUUUUUUUAGUCUUUUGUUAUUUUUUCCUAAUAGAGACGUAUUUAAUUAAAGACUGAACUGCCUGUAGUUAAUGAAAUCGUAUUUUUAUUGUCACGGUUUAAGACCCAACUUUUGCAUUAGCCGUACUGUAACACAGGUGAUUGUACUACUAGAUAACCAGUUAUUUUACACUGCAUCAUACUUUACCCUUUUAAGAGGAAAAACUUUCACUCUGCUUCUUAUUUUUUUUUAGUAAAAAUUAUUUUGCACAUCAUAGUACUUGUUAUUUAUUAGUAACUAUAAUUACUAUUAACCCAUGUCAUAUUUAUGCAUAGAUAGAUGCCAUUUUGGCUCAGUAUACAUCUGUGGUUGUGCUACUUAUUUUGUGUGACAACCUGCUUUAGGCUGAGGACAGCCAUCUUCUACAAUUUUAGCUAUAUGGGUACUUUAUUGACUGCAUAGUAUUGCAAAACCUUAAGUUUCACGUUUUGUUGCUUUUUAAGGCUGAUUUUGUUGUUCAGACACCUCUGUCUGGAGGAUCAUUGCGCUGGGAGCAGAUAUUUCUCAGGUUGAUUGAAAAUAUGACCGUAGAAUGU